UACGGAGGGGGCUAGCGUUGUUCGGAAUUACUGGGCGUAAAGCGCGUGUAGGCGGCUCUGUAAGUCGGGUGUGAAAUCCCACGGCUCAACCGUGGAAGUGCACUCGAAACUACAGGGCUAGAGUCCUGGAGAGGAAGGUGGAAUGCUUGGUGUAGAGGUGAAAUUCGUAGAUAUCAAGCGGAACACCGGUGGCGAAGGCGGCCUUCUGGACAGUGACUGACGCUGAGACGCGAAAGCGUGGGGAGCAAACAGG
rnacentral:rRNA from 1 species